rnacentral:lncRNA from 1 species
GGAGUAAGUUCUCUUCCUUAACAAAAUAGUUAACUAUGCCUUGCCUCCUUGAAAGCAGUGGUUUUAAUCCUUACUUGUAGUGAAUUGUUCUGUGCAAUUUCUGGCAUUUGCUAGAAACCUAUCAGUAGGAUCCAGCAUCUACAGCAAGGCAACAUACUGUUCAGAUGCUCAAAAAGGACAAAGGGUUUUGCACUAUCCCAGGAUCCUUGUAGUUCCUUUAAACUGAAAGAACUCUGCAUGGAAGCAACAGCUUGCUGAUAUGAGCAAGAGAUUCACCUUUGACUCCUGAUUUCAUUUUCUGCUCUUUUUUUCAGGCAAAAAGGCAAUAUUUUGGUGCUAAGGUAUAAUCAAAUUGUUGCUCUGUUAGAACUUCAGCAUGAGACACAACUCUGAGAAGACCUGGAAAACCUUUGUAAAUGAAAUGAAACACAGAGGAGAAAAUUCAACUUCAGGUUUCUGCUCUCCUUUAACAUUUAACAAGAUGCAAAUUCCUCCUGGAAUCUGACUAUGUUGACAUUUUUGCUUCCACAAAUUUCCAAAAGAAAGAUUCACAGAAGAAGAAGGGGAAAAAAAUGUAAAUUCUACUCCAUUUACAACAAUCUGUAGGUACAUGUAUU